AUUGAACGCUGGCGGCAUGCCUUACACAUGCAAGUCGAACGGUAACAGGUCUUCGGAUGCUGACGAGUGGCGAACGGGUGAGUAAUACAUCGGAACGUGCCUAGUAGUGGGGGAUAACUACUCGAAAGAGUGGCUAAUACCGCAUGAGAUCUACGGAUGAAAGCAGGGGAUCGCAAGACCUUGUGCUACUAGAGCGGCCGAUGGCAGAUUAGGUAGUUGGUGGGAUAAAAGCUUACCUAGCCGACGAGCUGUAGCUGGUCUGAGAGGACGAUCAGCCACACUGGGGCUGAGACACGGCCCAGACUCCUACGGGGGGCAGCAGUGGGGAAGUUUGGACAAUGGGCGCAAGCCGGAUCCAGCAAUGCCGCGUGCAGGAUGAAGGCCUUCGGGUUGUAAACUGCUUUUGUACGGAACGAAAAGCCCUGGGUUAAUACCCUGGGGUCAUGACGGUACCGUAAGAAUAAGCACCGGCUAACUACGUGCCAGCAGCCGCCGUAA
rnacentral:rRNA from 1 species